rnacentral:rRNA from 1 species
UUCCGGUUGAUCCUGCCGGAGGCCAUUGCUAUCGGGAUCCGAUUUAGCCAUGCUAGUCGCACGGGUUUAGACCCGUGGCGAAAAGCUCAGUAACACGUGGCCAAACUACCCUACGGAUCAGGAUAACCUCGGGAAACUGAGGCUAAUACUGAAUAGUGUUCUUACGUUGGAAUACCGAGAACACGAAACGCUCCGGCGCCGUAGGAUGUGGCUGCGGCCGAUUAGGUAGACGGUGGGGUAACGGCCCACCGUGCCAGUAAUCGGUACGGGUCAUGGGAGUGAGAGCCCGGAGAUGGAAUCUGAGACAAGAUUCCAGGCCCUACGGGGCGCAGCAGGCGCGAAACCUUUACACUGUACGCAAGUGCGAUAAGGGGAUCCCGAGUGCGAGGGCAUACAGUCCUCGCUUUUCUAUACCGUAAGGUGGUAUAGGAAUAAGGGCUGGGCAAGACCGGUGCCAGCCGCCGCGGUAAUACCGGCAGCCCGAGUGAUGGCCGCUUUUAUUGGGCCUAAAGCGUCCGUAGCCGGCCGAACAAGUCCGUCGGGAAAUCCGCUUGCUUAACAAGCGGCCGUCCGGCGGAAACUGUUCGGCUUGGGACCGGAAGACCCGAGGGGUACGUCCGGGGUAGGAGUGAAAUCCCGUAAUCCUGGACGGACCGCCGGUGGCGAAAGCGCCUCGGGAAGACGGAUCCGACGGUGAGGGACGAAAGCUGGGGUCUCGAACCGGAUUAGAUACCCGGGUAGUCCCAGCCGUAAACGAUGCUCGCUAGGUGGUGGCGCAGGCUACGAGCCUGCGCUGUGCCGUAGGGAAGCCGUGAAGCGAGCCGCCUGGGAAGUACGUCCGCAAGGAUGAAACUUAAAGGAAUUGGCGGG